rnacentral:lncRNA from 1 species
CUUAUUAGCCUAAAGUUUCUCUAUAAAAUACCACAAAUCAAAUCAUUUUAUCAGAUCAAAUUCAUCCCACCAAUCCACCAAAAAAACAAAAAAGGAAAUUCCAAUGACGAAAGUUCCGCUAUUCUGCUCGUGCCUUGUUAUUUUUCUUGUUCUUGCUACUUCAAUAAGCCUUUCCCAGGGAAAUCAAAGAUUUCUUGAAUGUCUCAAAACCAAUUCAAACCCUUCUCAUCCAAUUUCCUCACUAGUAUAUUCCCCAAACAACUCUUCAUUUCCAUCUGUUUUACAAGCUUACAUAAGAAACCUAAGGUUUAACGAGUCAACAACAAGCAAACCUCUAUUUAUCCUCACUGCUUUACAUGAAUCCCACAUUCAAGCAGCGAUUAUAUGUGCUAAAGCACAAGGUUUACAGAUGAAAAUCCGUAGUGGUGGACAUGAUUAUGAGGGUCUAUCUUAUAUCUCCGAUGUUCCCUUUUUCAUUCUUGACAUGUUCAAUUUCCGGUCUAUAAACGUUAACAUUGACGAUGAAUCUGCAUGGGUUGAAGUGGGUGCAACUCUUGGCGAAGUUUACUAUAGAAUUGCUGAAAAAAGCAAUGUUCAUGGCUUCCCCGCUGGAGUUUGUCCUGAUGAAUCUGGAUGGGUUGAAGUGGGUGCAACUCUUGGCGAAGUUUACUAUAGAAUUGCUGAAAAAAGCAAUGUUCAUGGCUUCCCCGCUGGAGUUUGUCCCACCGUAGGCGUCGGUGGACACAU